AGAGUUUGAUCCUGGCUCAGAACGAACGCUGGCGGCGUGGUUAAGGCAUGCAAGUCGAACGGACCUAGGUCUUCGGAUUUAGGUUAGUGGCGAACGGGUGAGGAAUACAUGGAUAACGUACCCCGGACUCGGGAAUAGCGGCGGGCUUCGGCCCUUUAGCGAAAGCGCCGGUAAUACUCGAUAACCCCGCGGAACCGCAUGGUUCUGCGGGCAAAGCCCCGACGGUCUGGGAGCGGUUCAUGUCCUAUCAGCUUGUUGGUGGGGUAACGGCCUACCAAGGCGGCGACGGGUAGCGGGCGUGAGAGCGCGACCCGCCACAUCGGGACUGAGACACUGCCCGGACACCUACGGGUGGCUGCAGCAACGAAUAUUCCGCAAUGGACGCAAGUCCGACGGAGCGACGCCGCGUGCAGGAAGAAGUCCCUCGGGAUGUAAACUGCUGUCAGGGGUGAGGAAUAACUUGACCAACCCCAGAGAAGCACUGCUAACU
rnacentral:rRNA from 1 species